rnacentral:rRNA from 1 species
AACGAACGCUGGCGGCGUGGAUAAGACAUGCAAGUCGAACGGGACAUUAUUUGUAGCAAUACAGAUGAUGUUCAGUGGCGGAAGGGUGCGUAACACGUGGGCAAUCUACCGAGAAGUGGGGGAUAGCUCGCCGAAAGGCGAAUUAAUACCGCAUAUGACCCUGGGUAUCCUUACCUGGGCGUCAAAGCCGGGGCAACCUGGCGCUUCCCGAUGAGCCCGCGGCCUAUCAGCUAGUUGGUGAGGUAACGGCUCACCAAGGCUAUGACGGGUAGCUGGUCUGAGAGGACGACCAGCCACACUGGAACUGAGAGACGGCCCAGACUCCUACGGGAGGCAGCGGUGGGGAAUAUUGGACAAUGGGCGAAAGCCUGAUCCAGCAAUACCGCGUGAGUGAUGAAGGCCUUAGGG